GACGAACGCUGGCGGCGUGCCUAAUACAUGCAAGUCGAGCGGAAGUUGGAGAGCUUGCUCUUCAACUUUAGCGGCGGACGGGUGAGUAACACGUGGGCAACCUGCCCUGCAGAUCGGGAUAACUCCGGGACACCGGUGCUAAUACCGAAUAGUUUUCGCCACCUCCUGGUGGCGUACGGAAAGACGGUUUCGGCUGUCACUGCAUGCUGGGCCGGCGGCGCAUUGGCUAGUUGGUGGGGUAACGGCCCACCAAGGCAACGAUGCGUAGCCGACCUGAGAGGGUGAUCGGCCACACUGGGACUGAGACACGGCCCAGACUCCUACGGGAGGCAGCAGUAGGGAAUCUUCCGCAAUGGACGAAAGUCUGACGGAGCAACGCCGCGUGAGUGACGAAGGUUUUCGGAUCGUAAAACUCUGUUGUGAGGGAAGAACAAGUACCAACUAACUACUGGUACCUUGACGGUACCUCACCAGAAAGCCACGGCUAACUACGUGCCAGCCGCCGCUGUAAAAC
rnacentral:rRNA from 1 species